rnacentral:rRNA from 1 species
UGGGGAAUAUUGGACAAUGGGCGCAAGCCUGAUCCAGCCAUGCCGCGUGAGUGAUGAAGGCCCUAGGGUUGUAAAGCUCUUUCACCGGUGAAGAUAAUGACGGUAACCGGAGAAGAAGCCCCGGCUAACUUCGUGCCAGCAGCCGCGGUAAUACGAAGGGGGCUAGCGUUGUUCGGAUUUACUGGGCGUAAAGCGCACGUAGGCGGACUUUUAAGUCAGGGGUGAAAUCCCGGGGCUCAACCCCGGAACUGCCUUUGAUACUGGAAGUCUUGAGUAUGGUAGAGGUGAGUGGAAUUCCGAGUGUAGAGGUGAAAUUCGUAGAUAUUCGGAGGAACACCAGUGGCGAAGGCGGCUCACUGGUCCAUUACUGACGCUGAGGUGCGAAAGCGUGGGGAGCAAACAGG